GACGAACGCUGGUGGCGUGCCUAAUACAUGCAAGUAGAACGCUGAAGGAGGAGCUUGCUUCUCUGGAUGAGUUGCGAACGGGUGAGUAACGCGUAGGUAACCUGCCUGGUAGCGGGGGAUAACUAUUGGAAACGAUAGCUAAUACCGCAUAAUAUUGACUAUUGCAUGAUAGUCAGUUGAAAGGUGCAACUGCACCACUACCAGAUGGACCUGCGUUGUAUUAGCUAGUUGGUGGGGUAACGGCUCACCAAGGCGACGAUACAUAGCCGACCUGAGAGGGUGAUCGGCCACACUGGGACUGAGACACGGCCCAGACUCCUACGGGAGGCAGCAGUAGGGAAUCUUCGGCAAUGGACGGAAGUCUGACCGAGCAACGCCGCGUGAGUGAAGAAGGUUUUCGGAUCGUAAAGCUCUGUUGUAAGAGAAGAACGAGUGUGAGAGUGGAAAGCUCACACUGUGACGGUAUCUUACCAGAAAGGGACGGCUAACUACGU
rnacentral:rRNA from 1 species